UAAUUAUAUGAUGUGACUCGUAUAAUCUGUCGUUCUUUCAUCAGCUGGGAAUCCGGUGAGACUCCGGAACUGACGCGCAGCGGUAAGAGGAAACGAAAGUAGCAGGGUUAAGAGCCAGACACUGCAGAAUUCUGUGGGAAGUCGCUGCCGUAGGCUGUCCUUAAGUCCGAAUAUCAGCUGGUAUAACAAUAUGGUA
rnacentral:ncRNA from 2 species